UGAUUUCAGUCUUUGCUGGGAAUAUAGUCCCUAAACUUGUCUUUGGGGAACUACUUUGACUCGUCUUUAGAGUAGUAUGUAUAGGGCUCGUGAGAUGAUUUAACAGGUAAAAGUCACCUGAGGGCCUGAGAUUGAUUCCCAGGACCCACACUGAUCUCCGUACACAUGCUGUGUAACUGGUGUGCACCCAUACACAUGUAUACACCCAUAAAAUAAUAAACAAAAUGUAGUGAACACCCCCCUCCCUACCACCUUUCAAAUUUUAUUUUUAUUUUAUGUCUAUUGGCGUUUUGCCUGCAUGUAAGUCUGAGGGUGUCAGAAAUCCUGGAACUUGGGUUACAGACAGGUGUGAGUUUCCAGGUGGGUGCUAGGAAUUGAACCUAGGUCCUCUGGAAGGCAACCAGUGCUCUUAACUGCUGAGCCAUUUCUCCAGCCCUUUAAAAUAUUUUUAAAGAGUAGUAGUAGGAUUAGUUUUGCUCCGAUGAAGCACCAUGACCAAAACUUGGGAAGGAAAGGGCCCAUCUCCACUACCAUCAUCAAGUAGGAAAAUGCCCUGAAGGCUUGCCUAGAACCUCAUCCCAUGGAGGCAUUUCUUAAUUUCUCUGUGAUAAUUUUAGCUUGUUGUGUCAAGUUGACGCAGAACCAGCUGACAUAAGGUGUAUGCUGUACAAUGAAUGAUCUUGACAGUGUUGAGAACUACACUUCAGGCCUGAUGUUGGGAGUCUUUGCUUCGAUGGAAAUACACUGGUUAAUCAUUGGAUUGCCUGUGUCUGUCUGGUGGGAAUAUCUUUUCAGUAAUUUCCAAUAUCUUUUCGGUAAUUUUAUUGAUUUAUCAGUACAAUAUGGGGAGAAGGAGAGAAACAAUUUUGUAAAAGCACACAUGAGAAACUCCCUUAGAUUAACUGAGGAUCUUGGCAAAUAGUCUCCCUAAAAGGCAUUAAUAAACUGGACAAAAAUUGCUUUAAAACAAGGAAACAAUUUGGUGGCACACGCCUUUCAUCCCAGCCCUUGAGGGGCAGAGCCAAGUGGACAUGUAUGAGUUCAAGUUCAGUCUGGUCUGCACUGAGUUCCAAGCAACCAGUGCUUCAUAGUGAGACCCUGUCUCGAAAACAAACCAAACCCACUUUUUGUGAAAUUGACCAAAGGAUACAGAUUGAGAUGUUUAUGCUCAGGCAUAGCUAUUGGUUUUUGUUAAGAUUAGUAAAUAUGUGACAUUGUAGUUGAACUGCUGAUUGUAGGCAGGAGCUGCUGCCCUUCCCCAGUCUGUGGUCCUUUAAGCUGUCCUCUGGGCAAGAUAGAAGGACUGCUAGCUCUGCUGUCAUGUUAGAAAGCAACAGAGGUUUCAUUGGCAGAUAAUCUAACAAGGUUAUUUUUGCAGGAAACAACAAGCUAACAGACCAUCUCAUGUAGAUACAGGGAAACAGCUAAAGUGGCCCAACCCAAGCCACAUGCAUGUGAUCUGGAAAGCUUAGUGCACAUGCAGGCUACACCUGCCCCAGAAAGAACACAGAAGGCUGUGGGAGCACUUAGUGCUGGUGUAAACAUGGAGUGGGCUUGGCAAAUUCUCUGAACUUGAAAACCAUUUGCCUGAGCAGUCUAUAUACAUACACACACACACACACACACACACACACACACACACACACACACCCACCCACCCCAAUCUGAAUUUAAACCAAAUAGAGGAUCAGGCACUGACUUAACAGCUAAGCUAUAUUGACCCAGAAAGCAAGCCUUAAAAAGAAAAGUGGAGGGAUUUGGAAGAUGGCUCUCAGCAGGUAAAGAGCCUGCUAUGCAGGUGUGGGCACUGGAGGUCAGAUCCCCAGAACCCAUGUAAAGUGAAUUCAGGACUAUCCCCGGCUUACAUAGUGAAUGUAGCUCAGGGAGAGAGCACUUGCCUAAUAUGUCAUGACAGUAACAGUAACAAAAACAUGUAGGAAAAUUUUUAAUUGAGAAGUCUUUACCCAUUCUUUAUUUCAUCACAUUUUGUUAUUUUUGCUCUCAGUAGUGGAGACUUAACUAGGUAGAGUUAGUGUGUGUGGUAAUGGCCCAUAGGUCUCUGGGGCUCUGUUUGUAGUCUUUUUUUCCCCCUUUUUGUUCUUCAUAAUGCAUAAUCUGUUUGUCUAUUUUAAGCAUACUAAUUUGGUGGGGGGUGUUUCGAGACAGGGUUUCUCUGUGUAGGCCUGGCUGUCCUGGAGCUCACUCUGUAGACCAGGCUGGCCUUGAACUCCAAGUGCUGGGAUUACUAAUUUUCCUUGUGCUGCAUCGUAUCUACUGUCAAGUGUGUGAGUUUACUGUAUCAGUUGUUUGGGUUUGGAAUUUCACUUUUUGUUUGUUUGGGAGUUUGUUUGUUAAAUGCCUUGUUUUUAAAUACAGUUCUAAAAUUUUUACACUUGACAAUUAAAUAGUUUAAUUAGAUUUUUUGUUUUUUGUUUUUCUGGGGUUUUUUUUUGUUUUUCGAGACAGGGUUUCUCUGUAUAACCCUGGCUGUCCUGGAGCUCACUCUGUAGACCAGGCUGAGGACGCUGAUGUAAAGCCAAGUGUCCUGUAACAGCUUGUAAGGUUUUCUUGCAAUUGGAGUUAACAUGUGAGCUAGUUUGCUUUUUCCUCUGCACAGAGCAUAGGUAGAACUGGGAAGAGUCCCAUGAUUUAAAUGAAAAGUUGUGUUGGACAGCACGAUGAGUUAAUAAUGUACCACUUGCCACAGUGUAUGCUCAGUGACUUUGAAGUAGACACUAACACUUGAGGAGGUUGCUUGCCUUUGACUUUCCUACCUUGAGUGGCAUCAUUUUGAUUUUCACAGAAUAGUAAAUGUCAGUAUUUGUGCGAAUUACAUAGUUACCACCAACUUUCUAAAGAUUUGUUCACUAGUUCUCUAUUGCUGUCUCUUUCCUGAGACAGGGUUUCUCUGUGUAACUGUCCUGGCUGUCCUGGAACUUCAUUUGUAGCUCAGGCUGACCCCAAACUCAGAGAUUUGCCUGCCUCUGCCUCCUGAGUUCUGGGAUUAAAGGUGUGUAUGUCACACUGCACAGCUUUGACUACUAAUUUCACUACAUACUUCUUAAAUUCAUUGCUGAACCACCAAGUUAAAUAAAUACAAUUAUAGAUUUAGGUUACAUAGUAAAAAUAAGUACACUGAAGCAAGAUUGGUCAGAAUAUUCUACAUGACUCUAUGACAGGAUGCUAAACAUUUAUUUCCAUGCGGACUUGGGACACCUGUGUUUUGGUUUAAUUACUUUAUUGUAUGUAUGUAUUUGUGUGUGUACACGUGUACAUGUUCAUGUAUGUUUGGAGGACAAGGGAUAACUUGUCGGGAGUUAUUUCUUUCCCGGGUCCCAGAGAUCAAAUAAAGGUAGUCAGGAUUGACUUCUGGUGAGCCAUCUCUUAGACCUGUUUUAAGAUUUCUUCUUUGUUUCGCUGUUGGGGUGUGUGUGUGUGUGUGUGUUUCUGUAUGUUUAUGUGUAGGUACCUUUGUGGGUGCAUAUGUGUGUGCAUGCAUGUGGCAGCUAGUCGAUGAUGGAGGCUUUCCUCUGUUCUCUCUUAUUUUGGGGGACACUGUCUCUAACAAAAACUGAAAUUCACCAGUUUGACUAGUGGCUAGUGAACCUCGGGGAUCUACCGCUCUUCACCUACUGAAAGGUUCCAGAUGGGCUAUUUUUUUGGUUUGGGUUUUUGGGUUUUUUUGUUGGUGGUGGUUAUUUUUGUUUGUUUUGGUUUUCUUUUUUCUUUUUUUUUUUUGGAGGGGGGGUGGUUUAAGACAGGGUUUCUCUGUGUAGCUCUGGCUGUCCUGGAACUCACUUUGUAGACCAGGCUGGCCUCGAACUCAGAAAUCCACCUGCCUCUGCCUCUGCCUCCUGAGUGCUAGGAUUAAAGAUGUGUACCACCACGCCCGGCUCCUUUAAUCCCAUUUUUAUGGAGGGGGGUGUUCUAUGUAAAGAGAUACUUUGCCUCUGUGUAUGUCUAUGUACUUUGUGUGUCUUUUUUUUUUUUUUUAAAGAUUUAUUUAUUAUAUGUAAGUACACUGUAGCUGUCUUCAGACACACUAGAAGAGGGCAUCAGAUCUCAUGGUUGUGAGCCACCAUGUGGUUGCUGGGAUUUGAACUCAGGACCUUCGGAAGAGCAGUCAGUUUUCUUACCCACUGAGCCAUCUCUCCAGCCCCCGUACUGUGUGUGUCUUAUGUUCAUGGAGACCAGAAGAGGGCAUUGCAUCCCUGGGAAUGGAGGUACAGAUGGUUGUGAGCUACCAUGUGGGUUCUGGAAUCAAACCUGGGUCUUCUGGAAGAGCAGCCAGUGCUCUUGGCCAUUGAAUCAUCUCUCUAGCCCCUGUUUUGUUGUUUUCUGACGACUCUUGAUACUGUUGAGCCUGGUACCUUCACUCCCAGCUCAUAUGACUGUCCUGCCUCAGCCUCCCACGUGAUGGAUGCAGGUACUUGCCACAAUGGUCCACUCCAACUGUGUAAUGUUGACCCGUCUGGCUGCUUUAUGCAUGUUUUCAUAUAAAUGAUAGAAAAACAAUUUAGUAUGGCACAUGGCUGAGGAAACUAAAAAUUUGCAAAUUCCUCUAAGCAUUGCCUGAGGCAGGAUAGAGUUGCUUGUCCUUAGCCAUUAGUCUCCUUUCAUGGGUGAGCAGUCAUUUAAUUAGCAGGUGGUGUCCUUAAGGGAAAUGGUAAGGAUAGUAGUUGCCCAUUGGCUUUCCCGCUUUACCAGUUUUCGGAGAGUAAGAAUUCUGUUUAUCAUACACGUGUCUCACUUGUCACCAGAAAUUGGAACUAGGAAAUCGAGAACUACCAAGUCUUCCUACCUCAUUUUUCCUGCUUCAACUAGUAAUACUUUUCAGUCAUUUCAUGGGGAGAAUUUAUGCUCAUUUCGAGAGUACACCGUGUCUCAAUAGCUUUCUUAGGGAAUCAGGUCACAGCUCCUGUGGACUCUCAUUGUAUCCUCAUAAUUCUUGUUGUACACAGUCACAGUUGAUAAAUUGAUGUGGAUUUAAUUAGGUUUAUUUGCCACUGACCCCAGCAGCUAUAUGGUAAAAAACAAUAUUGUCUCAUUCUGUAUUAAUGGCACCAAGCACAAUGGCUUGCCCAUAAUAAAGGCCGAGUAAAUAUUUGUGAAAUAAAUGAAAAAGUGAUAAAAGCCAGUAAGAUGGCAUGGUAUAAAAACACUUGUCACCAGGCCUGUCUUUGAUCCACAAGCCCCACAAAAUUGGAAGGAGAACCAACCUCUGCAGGUUGUUCUCUAACCUCUACAUCUCAGCUGCAGUAUGUGCACACAUAUAUGCACAAAUGUAUGCACACACACUAAAUGUAAUAAUUUUUGAGAAAAAACAAGUAAAUGUGCAGAACAGAUAGAUGCCUUGUUAUCCUAGCCCCAGUUGAUUAUUAACUAGAACUAGAGUGCCCUUAGGAACAGACAGCAUUCGUUUCUAGGUAGCUCAGGCCUGUAUAGGAUAUUCUGAAGUAUCGUAGAUGGAGUAAUUAGUUUUAGUUAUGUGUAUGACUUUUAUAUGUCUGUAAGUGCUUAUAAUAGUACUUACUGAAUAAAUACUGCCUUAAGCAUUUUUGCGUAUUGUCUUGUAUAGUUUUAACAGAUGUGUGAAAUAUUAUUAUACCUGUAUUUUAUAUACAUUUACUGAGGCUUAUAAAAAUUAAGUAUCUUGCCUUGGAUCCUAUCACUAGUAAGUAUAUCAUAAGAAUGUGUUUUGGAGGCUGGAGAGAUGGCUCAGCAGUUAAGAGGACUGGCUGCUUUUCUAGAGAACUGAGGUUCAAUUCUCAGCACCCAUGUAGCAACUCACAACUGAGAAUUCCUAUACCAGGGAACUGCAACAGUGUCUUUUGCCUCUGCAAGCUGCAGACACACAAGUAGCACACAGACAUACAUGUAGGCAAAGUGUCACCCCACCCCAAAAAAAUUAGGAAAGGAAAAAGAACGUGCUUUUCUAUUCCUAGGUGCUGGAGAUUGGACCCGGGGCCUUGUGUGUGCUAGGGAAACGCUUUACCACGAAGCUCCAUCUCCAGUCCCAAGAAUAGGAAUUUGGUCAUAUCUUUAGGGUUACAGGCACUGGAAAUGUUUUUCUGCCAUCUUUCCCUGCCCUCAGCAUGGUGCGCAUGAAAGUCCUGGAAGCAUCAACAAUGCUGAGAAAAGAGGCAGGCACCAGGUCUUCAGACCAUGCUCUUAAGUCAAGAGUCAGUUGCUAACUGUGAUGAUGAAGUGUGGUUACAUUGCAGAAUCUGAUGUCAUUGAUGAUAGCCAAGCUGGGGAAAUCAUGGUGAACUUCACAGGCUGGUUGAACAAGUGUAAAGUGAUCAGCCCUAGAUUUAAUGUGCAACUCAAAGACCCAGAAAAUAGCGGAACAAUCUGCUCUCACCUGUCACUGGCUCCAGUGUACUGACAACUUCAGCUGGAGUCAUGGACCAUGAAGAACAAGAGGAAGACACACAGAAGGGAAAAUCUUGUUGUUCUUUUUCUAGAGAUGUAAAAACUCUGGAUGUAAAUAAAAGGCCUCUACAGAGUGUGAAAACAUAAGCGUUAGUCUUGUUAACUUAAUUGAUUGCACAUAGUAAGAUAGCUAGCAUAGUCAGACCUGGUAUAACAUUUAUUACAGUAUCAGAGGCCUGGGUUUUUUCAUCUUCCUGCUGCCUCUAGCCUGCGGCUCUGUCCUAUUUGCUAGAUGGCUGCUAACUCUCUGAACACUAUAUCAGUUCCCAGGAAAGAAUAGUGAAAUCUCUCUUACAUAGCCUUCUUGAAAACCUCAUUAGGUGUCUUUUUUUUUUUUUUAAGAUUUAUUUAUUUUUAUGUGUGUGAGUACACUGUAACUAUACAGGUGGUUAUGA